rnacentral:rRNA from 1 species
AGGACGAACGCUGGCGGCGUGCUUAACACAUGCAAGUCGAACGGACUCCAUUCACUCGCAAGAGUGAUGAAGAGUCAGUGGCGAACGGGUGAGUAACACGUGAGAAACCUAUCCUGGUCUCUGGGAUAACAGCCGGAAACGGCUGCUAAUACCGGAUGCCGUCGGAGCGUCGCAUGGCGCGCUGACGAAAGGGUUACUGGAUCAGGAGGGUCUCGCGGCCUAUCAGCUAGUUGGUGGGGUAACGGCCUACCAAGGCAUCGACGGGUAGCUGGUCUGAGAGGAUGAUCAGCCACACUGGGACUGAGACACGGCCCAGACUCCUACGGGAGGCAGCAGUGGGGAAUCUUGCGCAAUGGGCGAAAGCCUGACGCAGCAACGCCGCGUGCGGAAGAAGGCCCUCGGUUGUAAACCGCUUUCAGAAGGAACGAAACUGACGGUACUUUCAGAAGAAGGUGACGGCCAACUACGUGCCAGCAGCCGCGGUAA